rnacentral:rRNA from 1 species
AUUGAACGCUGGCGGCAUGCCUUACACAUGCAAGUCGAACGGUAACGGGCCUUCGGGUGCCGACGAGUGGCGAACGGGUGAGUAAUGUAUCGGAACGUACCUUUCAGUGGGGGAUAACGUAGCGAAAGUUACGCUAAUACCGCAUAUUCUGUGAGCAGGAAAGCAGGGGAUCGCAAGACCUUGCGCUGAUUGAGCGGCCGAUAUCAGAUUAGCUAGUUGGUGAGGUAAAGGCUCACCAAGGCGACGGUCUGUAGCGGGUCUGAGAGGAUGAUCCGACACACUGGGACUGAGACACGGCCCAGACUCCUACGGGAGGCAGCAGUGGGGAAUUUUGGACAAUGGGGGCAACCCUGAUCCAGCCAUGCCGCGUGAGUGAAGAAGGCCUUCGGGUUGUAAAGCUCUUUCGGCCGGGAAGAAAUCGUGUGGGCUAAUACCCUGCAUGGAUGACGGUACCGGAAUAAGAAGCACCGGCUAACUACGUGCCAGCAGCCGCCGUAAUAC